CGUGUCCUGAAAGAGCUCUGAGUCCAGAUGUUUUCCAGGGGAUUCUGCAAACAGCCAGCUGGGAUUUGGCGAAGGGACCCGUCCUUAUGAAUGUCGAGCCUCAUUCAUACAAGGUUCUCGGGGUCCCCGGCGGUGUUCUGAGGACCUUGCACAAGAUUCGCACAAAAUUCUGACCAUGCCUGUGGAUGCAGGAGCCAUUGGAGGACGGAGAAGAUGUGUUGAUCCCAUGACUGACCAUCGAUAUGGAAUAGCCACAAUCUGGAUUAUGAGAGACUCUACGGGUCAUGCAGCCUGGGACUGUCACACGGGGAUUCUCGGGAAAAGAGAUGUGCAAAGGAAACCUUAGAAGAUGCCAAGAUCGACCACAUCAUUGCAUAUCCUGGUGAACAUGGUGGCUGACCAAAGGUGCGUGUAUGGACGGGAGGAAGGUUUCACACAAGAAGCCGGCGGGUGAGCGAGAGCUGUCAAGGAAAGGGUUUCCUUUCCUCGGAAGGACCUUGUGCUUGUCAUUAAAGCACCUGGCCAGAUUGAGAUGGACAGAUAUAUGGACAGUUACUGGAAGCAGUGUAGCCCGGAGCUACUUCCUGACUGCGGGGUACUUGAAGCGGACCAAGCUGUCAACCCAACUCGUCGGGUUUACAUUGCCCUAGGAGCUGGGCCACCAAGACCACCCCUCCCCAUCCCCGACACACACAUCUGUCCUCCUCACUUCUGAAAUUUAUGUGAAACAAGGUGUCCCAUUUGUUGGCGCUCAGUA